UCCUACGGGGCGCAGCAGUAGGGAAUUUUCGUCAAUGGGCGCAAGCCUGAACGAGCAAUGCCGCGUGAACGAGGAAGGUCUUCGGAUCGUAAAGUUCUGUUGAAGGGGAAAAAGAGCGGAGAGAGGAAAUGGUCUCCGAUUGAUAUUACCCUUGGAGGAAGUCACGGCUAACUACGUGCCAGCAGCCGCGGUAAUACGUAGGUGGCGAGCGUUAUCCGGAAUGAUUGGGCGUAAAGGGUGCGUAGGCGGCCUGCUAAGUCUGGAGUGAAAGGUACCGGCCCAACCGGUACAGGCUCUGGAAACUG
rnacentral:rRNA from 1 species